GCUCGCGUGGCGGAAUUGGUAGACGCAAGGGACUUAAAAUCCCUCGGUUGACAACAGCCGUGCCAGUUCGAUUCUGGCCGCGAGCA
rnacentral:tRNA from 1 species